AAGAAACUAACAAGGAUUCCCCUAGUAACUGCGAGUGAAGCGGGAAAAGCUCAAAUUUAAAAUCUGGUGGUCUUUGGCCAUCCGAGUUGUAAUCUAGAGAAGUGUUACCCGCGUCGGACCGUGUAUAAGUCUCCUGGAAUGGAGCGUCAUAGAGGGUGAGAAUCCCGUCUUUGACACGGACUACCGAGGCUUUGUGGUGCGCUCUCAACGAGUCGAGUUGUUUGGGAAUGCAGCUCAAAAUGGGUGGUAAAUUCCAUCUAAAGCUAAAUAUUGGCGAGAGACCGAUAGCGAACAAGUACCGUGAGGGAAAGAUGAAAAGAACUUUGGAAAGAGAGUUAAACAGUACGUGAAAUUGCUGAAAGGGAAACGCUUGAAGUCAGUCGCGUUGGCCGGAAAUCAGCCUUGCUUUUGCAUGGUGUACUUUCUGGUUGACGGGCCAGCAUCAGUUUUGACCGGUGGAAAAAGUUCAAGGGAAUGUGGCAUCUUCGGAUGUGUUAUAGCCCUUGUUCGUAUACAUCGGUUGGGACUGAGGAACUCAGCACGCCGAAAGGCCGGGUCUUUGACCACGUUCGUGCUUAGGAUGCUGGCAUAAUGGCUUUAAUCGACCCGUCUUGAAACACGGACCAAGGAGUCUAACAUGCCUGCGAGUGUUUGGGUGGAAAACCCGGACGCGCAAUGAAAGUGAAAGUUGAGAUCCCUGUCAUGGGGAGCAUCGACGCCCGGACCAGAAGUUCUCUGACGGCCCUGCGGUAGAGCAUGUAUGUUGGGACCCGAAAGAUGGUGAACUUAUGCCUGAAUAGGGUGAAGCCAGAGGAAACUCUGGUGGAGGCUCGUAGCGAUUCUGACGUGCAAAUCGA
rnacentral:rRNA from 1 species